AAUAUAAGCAGCCAGACAAUCCGCAGAACAUGCGAGACCUGGACAAUGCAAGAGUAUUCCGACGUUGAACGUUGCAUCUUUGCCAAGUAUCUCUCGCACACAAAUUUGACUGCCGACAGAUGCUAUUGAGAGAAAACAAUAAGUACGAUCUGUCAAGCAUCAAGACUGGUUACACAAUCGGGUGUGAGGAGGCAAACCAGCAGCCAAACAAAAACUUCAAGCAGCCAUGGAGAAACCUCAAGAAAUGAAAAGCCUGAAGAGGUCACGAUGGAACCUCCAAGUAAAAAAAGACGUUUCGAUCAGUUGAAUAGCCAACUCACCCAAAUGAUGAGAGUCGUAAUAAAGAGGCUUCCUGACAGGAUCGAGGUAGGUUAUCACUGAUGGCGAAACAGCCAACAACCAGCUUCACUGACCUGCUGCUUCAUAAUCA